CAUAGCUCAAUUGGAUAGAGCGUUGGCCUCCGAAGCCGAAGGUUGCAGGUUCGAUUCCUGUUGG
rnacentral:tRNA from 1 species